CCAGCAGUUUCUAGCAGGUCAGUCCAGUUCUUCUUUUCUCCACCCCUGGGUGACAGACUUCAUGAUACACAGAUUUCUUCUUCUUUUUUUUUUUUUUACACUCAGGUUGUAGCACGCACAAGUGGAGUCAUCAUUUUUGGACGACAGGCCUCUACAAAACCCCAUCCAUAAACUCUGAACCUUAUAUUACACCAUCCACUAAUGUAUACCUCAGCAUGUGCCAAGCCCUCAGGCCAGAUGUGUAGAAUCAGUGGCACGAAUGAUUAAUAACCCACAGUGCUCAUUUUUGGCCUCAUGUCGGAAGGGAAAAAAAUAGAGUGAACUGCCAGUACUCGUCUGGAACAGCACAUCCGCC